AACGAACGCUGGCGGCGCGCCUAAUACAUGCAAGUCGAGCGAGAAGACGUAGCAAUACGUUUGUAAAGCGGCGAACGGGUGAGGAAUACAUGGGUAACCUACCCUCGAGUGGGGAAUAACUAGCCGAAAGGUUAGCUAAUACCGCAUACGCUUCCCGGACUGCGGUUCGGGAAAGAAAGCGAUACCGUGGGUAUCGCGCUCUUGGAUGGGCUCAUGUCCUAUCAGCUUGUUGGGAGGUAAUGGCUCACCAAGGCUUCGACGGGUAGCUGGUCUGAGAGGACGAUCAGCCACACUGGCACUGCGACACGGGCCAGACUCCUACGGGAGCAGCAGUAAGGAAUAUUGCGCAAUGGACGAAAGUCUGACGCAGCGACGCCGCGUGGGGGA
rnacentral:rRNA from 1 species